rnacentral:lncRNA from 1 species
GUGUGUGAGAGUGAGUGAGAGAGAGAGAGAAAGAGAGGACUCACCCAAAGCACUGCGAUUAUAUCUGAAUCACUAAGACUCUCUUCCUUUGGCAAAGCAAGCAGCAAGCUUAGGAAGUCAUCUUGCUUGGAGAAUUCACCAUGGGUUCUUCUCUCCUCUAUAAGUUUACCCAUAAGAGCCUUAACCCUCAAAGCCAGAUGCUUGCACCUCCUUCCCACCCCAUACAAGUCCAAGAGGCCACCCAAGGAAAAAUAAUCUCCCAAGUUAAAGCUCCCAAUCAACUCAUACCCUUCCUUAACCAUGUCAGCCAACUCCUUGCCCUCCACUUCCCCAAGCGACCUCCUUCCAAAUACGCUCCCCACCAUGCUCUCCAAGGAGCCCUUCUGCAACACUCCCCUCAACACCACCAUCCCCGUCUCUUCCAUCUCUCUGCGCACUCUAUCUAUCAUGCCAUCAGCCACUGCACUCCUCAGGGUCUCUGAGGCUGCGAUCCUCCGGGGGGAGAACAUGCUGCCGGCGGCGAUGCGACGGAGGUGCCGCCAGUACUCACCGGAGGGAGCAAACCCGAUGGCCCGCUCGAACAUGAGCAGCCGGGCCGACACCUUGGUCGGCCGGUCCGAGAAUGCCGCGCCGCACAAGAUCUCCCGAGCGGUGUCGGGGUGGCUGCUGACGACCACCGGCGUUGCACCGAAGCUGAGCGCCAUGAGGCGGCUCGCACGGUGGGAUUUCGAUAGGCUCGCCAGCUUGCGGUGCGCGAGCGGCCCCAGGAGAGGAAGGCUGCCGAGCAACGGCCACCCGAUCGGGCCGGGGGCUACCGGAGCAUUCCCCGAGUACUUGUGCCAUGCAAAGCCACCAGGGACGAGCCAGGCGGCGAAGAAGAGCGGUAGAGUGAGAGAGAGAGUGGAGAGGAGGAAGAGGAAGGGCCAUGGGGCAUGGUUAUGGGCUGCAAGGCACAAGAUGAGUAAGAAGAGGCUGGUCAUCAACUGGGUUCUCAUUGGAGGAAGAGAGAGAGAGAGCGGAUACUACUGCUCUUCUUACUGUUGGAAGGAGGACAGGAUUGGUUUGGAGUUCUUUAAUGUCUAAAUGUGGAGAGUGGCAGGCGAUGGCCCUCCUAUUUAUAGCUGAGAGGAGAGUGUUUUGGUUGGACAAAAACCAGAGCCAAGAGCUUAUAUUCUAAUUUUUUUUUCUCUCCUGUGAUCUGGUAGUAGGUUCCCGAAACUAAAGAUGAUCUUAAAAUAUAUUUUUAUUUCAAGUGGGCCAAGACCUUUUCUCGCGUGAAGGACAAUCACACCCACGGACACAAUAGCUCCCCAAGUUCUCACAAAAUAAUUGGCCACAAAAUAUAUAAGCUCUUGAACAUUUAACAUGGAUAAAUUUGCUCAAAAAAUAGUAUGAUAUAUCUAAUUUUAUCAAAAAAAAAAAUCAUGUAUUUUGGAACCAAAAUCUUUUGUAAUAAUUGUACUUAUAAAACAAGUAUUCGGAUUGUAACUAGCACCAUCAAAUAAUUCUUAAUAAAUCCUCAUCAUGCAAACUAAAUUUCUUGCUAUAAUAAUAGAGACCGUACAAAAGCUAGCAGAAUGGUUGUCGGACUCUAGAGUCACAUCCCUACAUGAUGUGGCACUUCACCCUUUGAUUAGGCCCUCUCUAGUGUUUGGCCAAAAAGAAAGUUGUCGAAUCUUUCCAUGAAUGCUACUCCCAGAUGCAUGCAAGAAAUAGGAUCCUCGCAAAAUCUCAUAAUACAAGGGUAUCUAAAUGAACAAAAGUUCUCAUGGUCGACCAUUUAUGAUGAUAUCAUACCCAACCAAAUCAUUCUUAAUUAUAAACAACACCAAAGAUUUACAACUCUGCAAAACUCUGGAAUAUAAGAUGAUUGGAGAGUUGGUUUUGUGGUUUUUAGGGGGGGGGGGGGCAAAUUUUGCUACAACUCUUAAACAUGUUAUAGAAAACACAUCUUAAAGUGCAAGCUAGCCCAAUGUAGGAACUAAAUUUCCAGUUAGUAGCAAACUGAAACAACAUCAAUUCAUUCUAUUGGUAUGGUAAAUAAUAUGGUUCUCUAACUCAUUACGGUAGAAAGUAUUUUCUUGCAAACUUUGUUUAGAUUCGGUGUUGGUGAAAUAAAACACAAAGCUGAGGAAAGCGGACCGACCUCCUCGUAUUCGUCCUUAAGCCCCUCAACCUUAUCAACGGACUAUUUUUCAGUAUUUCCCCAAAAGAGAGGGGCUAUAUCGUAAAAGUACCAUAAACCUGGCGGUCGCGACCNNNNNNNNNNNNNNNNNNNNNNNNNNNNNNNNNNNNNNNNNNNNNNNNNNNNNNNNNNNNNNNNNNNNNNNNNNNNNNNNNNNNNNNNNNNNNNNNNNNNNNNNNNNNNNNNNNNAACGGCUGCUCAUCCAUAUAGAUCUAACAUGAGUACAACCCGCCAAGUUAUAGAAAAGAAAAGACAAAAAAAAAGAAGCAUCUGAAGCAGACGUCCACAAAAAAUUUCCGGAAUGUCGGACCACGAACGAGGCGACCCAGUCUGCGACCCUGUUCGCCUCCCUAAACACACGGUCCGCCUGAAAUCCGCUCAUCAGCUGAGCCAUCCUGCGAGGCUUCCGAAUAAGGGGGUGACCAUCACCAUACCUAUCCGCCCCCCCCGGAUCCAGUCGAUCACCACCAUAGAGUCUCCCUCAAGAUGCACCCGCUCGACGCCAAUUACCUGCCUGGCAUAGGAUAAACCAUCCCAGGUAGCCCACAACUCUGUCUCAACAACUGUAAGCCCUGGUGUACACCGUCCUCCUGCGGCAACACGACACUUAUACUCACCUAUCCGUGACGCGGCACGGGCUCCAACCCUAAUUAAACGUAUCUUCAUCCAACACCUUGGAUUAAAGAACAUAUGCAUCCAUUAAUUAAUUAGCAGUCAACUCCACUCCAUGAUCCUGGAUCUUCAAAUAAAAUUUUAAUCUUCAUGUGACGCAACACUUAUACAUAUAGGCCUAAUUAUUUUCUAUGGUAUCAAUAUAUACACACACAUAUAUGAUAUGUCACCUAAAAUAAAAUUAAUAUAAUCAAUUUUAUAUUUCAUACAUAUUAGUAUAUAUAUGUAUAUAUACACUAAAAAUAUUAGGGCAAUCAAACUACUUAUAGUCUGAUGACAUGAUUUGCAUCAUUUUUAAAAUUUUAAAUGACUUAGAUACUAUAGAUCAUGAUCAACAAUAUGAUCAGUAUUGCGGCUAUGACAUAUAGUUGCAGCCAGUUGUUGUGAAAAUGAAAGAAUUGAAAUGUAAAUAGAAGAAAAAAUAUAAAAAAAAUAUUAUUCUAGCCUUGCCUAGAAAUGAAUUUCUAAUGCCAUUUGAUUUUUUUGUGUGAUAGCAACAAAGGACAGCCAAAAAGAAUUUAAAUCCAUGCACAGAAUGCACACAGAAUAUGAUAUGCAAUUUUAUAACUACAUUCACAGUGCUCAUUAGAUAUCAUUUACACAUAACUGUACCCCUUUUUUUGGUGUAAAUGUAAUGGUACAUUUUGAAAUGCAUUGUAUAUUAUGUAUUAAGUUGAUUCUAUUUGGGUUGGUGACAAUCUAGAUCAACCUCAAUAAGCUUUUAAACCAACAUACCAAAUAUUUGAAUUUGCCGGGAACCGCUAAGUUCCUAAAUGAACACACAUUGAAAGCAUAGAAGAUGAAGAUGUAUCUAGCUUGGUGGAUUAGAGCUUGGUGCAUCCCACAAUUACAAAGAGGAAAAAUGCGAAAGCUUUUUGAAAAGAGAUUUGGAAUCCGAAAUCCAGACCAUCCAGCCGAUGCGACCGGAUCGAUCCAGAGAACAGCCAUCACAGACAAAUAUCCGACAACCAGUUGAUCCUUGGAUUGCUCUUAAAUUUCUCAGCAGAUUUGUCUGGUCGGCCAUUGCAAACAGUCUCCAAGUGUCAUAGAAAUUAACCAUUGUUAGGUGCAUAUAAUGGCCCUUAUUCCCCAUCCUAACUUGAGUAAAGUGCCAAGUGCCAGUCACAAAGUAAUAGACCUCUCUCCUCCCACUUAUUUCCUCUCUAGAUGGCGACUACAUAAGUUCUGAAAACACUUAUUCCUGUACAAAAAUAUCCAGGGGUCCCAUAAGCAUAACCAAAGAUACUCUCCAAUUUCUAAAUGCCACAGAGAUAUUAGUUACUGAACCUUAUUAAAGAAGAAAAUAAAAUUCUAUGGAUGGGUAACAAAAUUGCUCUCAAAUCCAAGGAGUCACAACACACAGGGGUAAUAGUGGGUCAUGCAAACCCAAACCCAACCCAGUUUGGUGCCUAAACUAGACUAGUGAGUCCACAAAGUGGGUGAGUUACUCAGCCAUGGUUCAAGCAAAAUUGGACCCAUUUACAGCAUCAUUUACACCAUUAGCUUCUAAGGCUUCAGGACAAAGGAGUUUGCUUUAAGAUGGAUUGUAACACAUAGAUUGGUCUCCAUCUAGUAGUUGGCUUUUGGAUCAUGUGCAAAAGCUUCCAGUCUAGUGUCCUGAAGCCACAGACCAACAGCCACUUAACCAAAACCUUAUGUCUUCUGUAGUAAAAAAGGCCAGGCACCAGAGUGCUAGAUUGCUCCAGAAAAUAGAAUGCAUGGAGACAAAGCAUGACCAGUUGCUUCCUCCAGAAUUCUGAUGUUCUCUUUCACUGUCCAUGCUUCCAGAGUGCUUUUUCUUACCAAUCCCCUUUAGCCCCCUGUACUCCUUUGUCUCCUCCAAACCUGGAGCCUAUAAUUUAAAGCAAAACAAAGAGAUAUGGACAUGAUUCUUCCACCUAAUCUAUCUUUCGACCGAACAGAAUUAUAAUGAAUAAUUGAUGUGAACAGUGUGUUGCCUCAGUGAUCACACUCCACCUAACAAGUGGAGGUUCCUGAUCCGAGCCCUGGAUAGUGUAUCCCCGAGUACUCGGACCUAGGUAAUUAAAAGAUUGGGUCACUUUGUUUCUUCAAGAAUUUGAUUGAAGAAAAGGAUGUUGGCCAUUGCGCAAAUCAAAUUUGCCCAGCCAGUUCUAAAUAUAAAUACUAUCACCAUCAUAAAUAAGGGGACCACAACAGCCCCAUAUAUUAUGUCCUUGUUUUAGGUGGCGAUAAAGAACCUUAGCAAUAAACAAGACCAUCAUGAAUCAUUAAACCAGCAGGAAGCAAACAAGCGGUAGAGUGGCGAAGCAUACCUUGAAAACCAUAAGAGGAUGAAUUGAAAGCUGACACAAAGCCUAUAUGAAGGAUUCCUGACAUGAUACGCUUUGUAGACCAUAUUAGCAGUACCUCAUUAUUGCUCAUAUGAAGAAAGGGAGAAUGGGGAGGUGGAGUUUCGUUUUCUAUCUGCACAAUUUUUUCCAAAAAGUUCACCUCCAGGACACUUGCCUUCACACAUCUUCCUUUCAUGCCACAAAAAAAAAUAUAAUUAAAGCUAAUGCAAAGCAUAUAAAUGAAUGCACGACAUGGAUCACAAAUCGUAGCAAAAAAAAAAAGGGCCUUUAACCGAUCAUCAUCGUGCUGCUGUUAAGUGGGACUCAUUGGAGGUGUUUCUCCUUAAACAGAUAAAGCAUGUUGUCUUUGCAGCAGAUUAAAUUAUCAAAGAGAACCUUUUGCCACAGAUAUCAAGAACAUGAAAGUUUUGGGUGGGUGCUGAUGUGUUUAACCAAAGUCUUUAAAGUAGUAUACCUGCACAACAUGUGAUAUUACUCAUAGAUCUGAUGAGAUUCAUUUCCACCAAUAGCACGGUGUCGCCCGACGUGGUUACUAUUUGUCCACCACCUCAUUCUAAUUAAAGAAAGCAGCUGAUGAUAGUGGGGCAAUAAUAAAUGCUCGAUGCCUCCUCUAAUUGGCAAGAUCAAGUAUCACUGCAAUAAAAAAUCCUAAAACAGAUCAGCAGGGAGGAAGAAAAGCUUCCUUAAUAUUUUAAAGCAGUACUUUUAUCAGUUAGUUUAACUUACCAAUCUCUUAUAAAUGCCUUCAAGUCCACAGUUGAAUCCCUUAAGCAUAGAAUCAGAAGAGAGAAAUUAUCUGAGAACAGAUAAGCAAGGAUAAAAAUAUCCAAUGAUGCUAGCACUGCAUGGAGAUGAGGCCUACUUUACUUUUUCAGGAAGGAUCUAACCAUGGGGACCUCUAGUCACUAAUGAUUUCGACGAGUCCUUGAUUGAUGAAGGGUGCACAUGUUAUAUUGAAAAGGGAAAGAAGCACCUCCACCAAAGUCAGGACCAUAUAAAUGCAGCCUAGAUGCAAUGGCCACCACUUUCCUCUCAAUGGGCUGCAUAUCUCUGCUCUUUUAGUAUGGUAGCUAUCUGUAGUGGUAGAUUAUGAUCUAAGCAAUGACAAGAUGGAGGGAAAAUGGACGAACCAUUUGUUCAAGGCAAAAGGAUGUGGGACCAGAAACAGGACCAAAACAGGAUAACAGUGGCUCCCAUUAGAUAACCCAAAGAUCUAGAUGAUUCGAAUCUUUAAAACGAAAACAUUAUCUGAGCCAACCUGAUACAAGUUGGAUGAGGAUACCUAAUAUACUGUAAAAUACUUUGCAGCCGUAUCCAUCUGCUUGUUACAAGAACCAGAAACAUACAUGCAAAAAUAGCAGCACAAACAUGUUGGUGGGCAUGGAACCCAAAUAUAAUGAAACAGAUUUUGACCACAAUGCAUCAUCAGAGCACGACUUGAACAUGGAGCACACUAAUGAGCCCGAAAUAGGUCAUUAAACGAGGCAAAAGGCACAAUCAUGUUAAAGAUGGUAAUUUUAUUGCAUCCGCACAGAAUGAUCCAUAUUGUACAGGUGUCCAAAGAUAAAGAUGUUUAUCUCAUCCAUAACAUAUAAAUUUAAGCCACAAACCGAGUGUCGGUAGCAAGACACUUUCUACUAGGAAGUUAAAGUUGCAGUUAAUAUUAUGAUAAAAUAAUACAAUUUUGACAAUAAAGCAUAUCAAGGAACUACUGCUAACUUGUCAACUCUCAGAACACUAAUUCUACUUGUAACAGCCAUUUCACAUGUGACAAGGGAUCCCUGUAAUUAACAGGCACAAAACUAUGAUUCACUGCAGACUUGAAUUUUAAAAGAAUCAAGGGAUAUCCAUAUGUCCUAGAAUUUAACGCGUAGUCUCAGUAAUAAGACCAAACAGAACUAGAAAUUCUAACCAUGAUGAUAAAAAACAGCUCUGUCUCCCACAUGUUUAAUGGAGUUUGUCGUUUGUUCCUCUCAAUGCUAAGAUGCACUGAGAAUACAACGCUUAUAUUACUUGGUGAGAACAUUUUAACAUAAGCAAAACUAGAAGUAACAUUAGUUUCAUUCUUUCACAUCUUUGCUUUACCAGAUGGCCAGACACCAAACCAAUUCUAUUAGUGCAUCUUGAAACAAUAUCAGCACUUUUCAGCAAAGAAAAAAAAACAAUAUCAGCACUAGGCUAUGUUGAAUAACCUAAGCCCAGUCAAGCUCAACUUUUUUUUUUGGCUCGUUUUUAUGGCAAAUAUAAGCAAAAUCAACAAACCUUAUUCCAUAUAUUAUGCAGGAUUUAUGGAUCUUUUUCCACCAUUUAUCUGUAUGAAGGGCAACAUCUAAUGCCAGUAAAAACAUCUUUCCAUCAUGUUUACCUAGCCCUUACCCCUCUCUUUUCAAGUCUUUCUGGACAAGGUGAAGAUUCAAUCCUUGAUAGGGUCUCCAUCCACCCAUACAUCCAUCCAUCCACCCAUCCAUCCAGCCAUACAUCCCAUCUGUACAUACAAAUAGAUAACAUUUUCACAGAUAGUCUUUUGAAGUCUGAUGUGUGAGUAAAAGAGGUAGUCUUUUGAAGUCUGAUGUGAGUAAAAGAGGCACCUUCUUAGGCAGGACUGAACAAUUAAUGGAUCAGGCAUGAGCUUUCAGCUUGACAAAUUUCAGCAGAGAUAUUCAUCAUGGCUCAGCACUAAUAUAAGCAAAUUAUAGAUUGGACAGGUUCUUCUAAUCACCACCUCAAAUACUGUAAUAUUAUUCUGCAUUCUUAAAACAACAUCUUGGCAAAAUGACAGUCUGUUAGUUUAUCUCAGUGAUUAAUUCAUUUAUCCUAGAUGUAUCUUCUAGAACUUCCAAAUGGUUGUUUAACAUACUCCACACCACUGCACAACUGAUCAUGUUUUCUCUUUAUCUAUAAAACCUCCAAUUUAGUCACUAUCUCAUGGUAACACCUCCGUAAGGUAGCACAGAACAAUCCAAUGCUACCAAUCAUUUUAUAGGAAUUAGAUAUCAUCCAUAACACAAUAACACGGAAGUAGUGAUAGUUUGCCAUCUCCUCUUUUUACUAUAGAUCAAUUACUGGCGGCCAUAGAGUUCACGUGAAUUUAGCUUUCCCCAAUCAACAACAAUUCAUUUCUUCAAAUAGUUGGUUGACUAGAAAAACUAAAUCGACCAUUCAUUGUGCUUUACCAAAAGAAUACUUAUUGUGAGUGCGAUUAGCACCAUUUAGGGCGUUUACGAAUGCUUAUGACAAAAACAAACCUAAAGACUCUGGGCCCACAAAUUUUCAACUUCAUAUGAAGGAAUGUAUGACUGCCACCUUCCAGCAGUUUCAAAUAAGGUCUCUCAAAUGCUUGGAUGAUUAAACCAGUAGUCCCGUAGAAGUUUUAGUCCAUGUUUCUCACUUAGAAUCUACCUUCCAAAUAUUCUCCAUCUUUGGAAUACCUUUCUGAAAAGGAGAAAGAUAAUAUUUAGUGGCUUCAAAUUCCACCAACCCCCUUUAUUUCUCUAUGUCCACCAACACCCUUUAUUUCUCUCUCUCUUUGUAGUCAAUAUCAGUACAUAAUAUAUUUUCUUAUAAAAUUGACACACACUAUGUACAGCCAUGGUACCAAUACUAGAAGCCCGAAAUUUAGGAGUUUAGAGCAAGGAAUUAGGUGUUGGCAUGGCCAUAUUGACCAUAUAAGGGCAUGUUUCAGGGGGUCUAUAACACACUAGCAUGCAUUGGUCUGUGCCUGUCGGUAGCAACUAGCAUGGACCCAUGUUUUUUCUGAAACAGGCUCUGACAUGUAAUUAACACAGCAUGGCAUGGCACCUUACUUUCUUAUUUUCUGACCAGCAUGGGUAUGACAAGUUAUACUUAAAUAUUUUAUCUGAAAAUUCUUCUCUCCACGGACCAUGCUAUUUUCUCUUGCAAGAAUAAUCCUUUUUCCUCACCAUAUUUUAAAGCAUCUUGAUGAAAGAUAUAACAGUGAGUCAGAUUCCAUUUAGCAGAUUAUCCAUUCCUUUUGCAUAAUGCACCACCACAUAAAUUUAAGGUUAUCACAAUAAAAAUAAAAAAAGUUGUUCCCUGCAUACCUGAUAAACUUCAGAAAAUGGCCAACAUGUCAAAAUGUUCACACUUGUAGCACCCAAGAAGGUGUGGCACAUCCUUAAGGAACUAUUUUCCUCAUACAUGAUGAGAAGAACAUGCACAAAGAGUGUUAAUGUGCUAGAAUGAGUUUAUCAGCUAAUACAAAUUCCUUUGGUUCCAUCCUGAUUAGGAGAAGGUAAGAAAGGAGGAGAAAGUCCAUCACAAAACCCUAAUAUAUUAGAGCUUUAGUGCAAAUUAAUUAGCAUAUUGGAGCAUGUAUAAAGAAGAGACUUUUUCUAAGUCUACACUUCGAGCAAGAGCCAACCCAUCAUGUUUUAGGUUAUGACCUCACAUAUUUUGUCUACAACAAUUGGAUGAUGUUGAAGUAACAAUUUGAAUAACAUGUCUUCCAAUGUCUUUUCUUCUCUAAAGGUAUUUUCCUUUCUUCCUUGUUGGGUUCAUCUGAUUUUACUUUAAAAUUCUAGCAUUCCAACACAUUUACAUUUUUCAUUCCUUUCAUAACUGCAUUUCUAAAUGAUGAUAUAUCUUACACGAUAUUCUAGUUACUAUUAUUUAUCAUCUUUACUAUUUUGUGAAGACAACCAUUUUAAAGUGUUUUAAUACAUCAAAUUGAACUUGCUGUCAAUUCAGAAUCUAUAAAAUCUUACUAUAAAGGGGAAAAUGGAACCAUGGGACAUGAACAUUAAUGCAUCAGAAAUGUGAUACAGACCAAAGAGACUUACCCGCCCUUUCAUAAAUGGGGAACUUAACACCUAGUCUUUUAUUUGAUUGCCAUUAUUCUUUAAGUCAUUACUUAUGUCUAGUCCCUUGUGCACAGUUUGACUUGUUUUUUGCACACAGUCAACAGUAAUGCCUGUUUAAGUACAUAGUUAUACCUAGUUAGACCAUACGAACACAGGCCAAGGAUUACGCAUAAAAUGGUCAUCACUUUCAAGGACUAGGAAUAAGCAUUUGGUCGACAGGGAGAAAACAUAAAAUGGCAGUCAAUACAGGGGGUGGACCACAAUUUCUCUUUUGUGAAUCAAAGAUUUCAAUUGCUCAAACCAAGGUCCGCCGUACCGGUACCGGUCGGCGUACCGGUGGCGGCCCGGACCGGUACGAAAUCGGUCUCGUAUCGGUCCGAACCGGUCCCGUACCGGUCCGAACCGGUCCCGUACCAGUUUUUCAACAGUAAACUACCGGUACCGGAUUCCACGCUGAUCCGGUACCGGUCCCAGGCCGGACCGGUACGUACCGGCCCGUACGGGCCGGUACGGCAGACCAUGGCUCAAACAACAAGCAACUUAGUUAUUGAUCUCUACUUUUGUGAUCAAUUGCACAAGUUCCGCUGCUCAAUUCCACUAUAAUUGGGCAAUCAUGUACUCACCAUGAUUCACAUGCACAGAAGGCUUCGAGGGAGACUAGACUGCUACACAUUUCCCAUCAAUACUAAAUUACAGAUUGUUUUUUUUAUUUGAACUGAAGUAGCUAAAAUUUAUUCCUUGCCAUGCAAUCUUUUAAAGUAUGGCAUGCCAAUUUUGAUAGAAGUACAUAAUCAGACAAGCAUGCAUAUGAUCGGGUCCCAUAGUCAAAGCGCAAACCUACAAGAAUGCUCUCAAAUUCAGGUUACUUUAGUUAUUCUCUCAAAACCCUGCAAAUUGUGCAUGCAGAACUUUAGUAUUCUCUCUGAACCAAAAUUCUUAUUCUCACUAUCAAUUUCCCAACAAGUCAAUUGAUGAUACAUCCACAGCCUUUGUCCAGCUAAGGUUCUAUAUGUAUGUCACAGUCUUGGUGCUAUUGAGGCCAGAAUUUCUUAAACCUCACACUGAGUACUCAAGCAUUUCUUCUGCACAUUUUAAUAUGAUGGCAAACCAAAAAGAAAAGGAAUCAUCUUCUCACGGAACAGGGCAUAAGGAACCACUCUUCCUUCUGCCAAAAGAUAGGUUGUUAAGAAAAGCAUUGCAUAAACCAAGCCCUUUUGUUAUUUUCUGGUAAGCCAAGCAAGACAAGCAUUCUAAUGCUUAUUAUAAAGAUAUGAUGGAGGUAAAACAUUAACAAGCAUAACAUCAUGUUAUACCAUAUGAACCUUUAGUUGUUGUGGGUGGUAUUAGUUAAGACAUCAGAUAUUUACCAAAGAUAUAUAAGCUGAGAUAAGAAUAACACGUUUGGCCAUUCAGACCUGCAAUCAAAAUGAAAAUGAGAUCAUAGCCUAAAGAAAGUUGUAAUUCUUAAAAUUAAUGUACAUUGAGAAAGCUAGAUCAUUCAGAUCAGGCAGCACCCCUCAUUUGUUUAGGUUUAGCCACCCCAGUAAAAAUAAAAAGCCAAGUCAGAACAAUGUGCUUUACCUAAAGUAUGAAACAUAAUAAACGCCUAUUCUUAAUCAAAUGAAACUUUGUGAUCAGAGGGGAAAGGCAUCACCUAGAACUCUUCCCACAACAUACCCUAUUUGGUCUAUAAAGGAUGUAACUACCGGAUUCUACUAAGUGAUAAUAAGAAGGGCUAGUUUUCCAUAGACUAAAAUCCUUUUUAUAAUUUUAUUAACACUUGCAGUUGAAAUUUGAUUCACACAACUUAAUUAUAAGAGUGGAAAAAGCAGCUAGUUAUCUCACCUAGGAAGUUAUGGAGGGACAUGAGAUUUUGCUGUACCGGCCCAUGCAACAAAUGCCUACUGCAAGAUCUACCUAUUGAAGCAUCUCAAAUUUCAUAUCAUGAUUUUUUUCUUUUUGGAUGCUCAGAAUAGAUAAUAAAAAAUAGUUAUUAUUAUUAAUAUUUUUAUACAAUAUCUGACACCGAAAUACAAUGACAUGUCUAAGUAAAACAGGUAGUAGUAAACAUCAUAUAGAAAUGGCAGAAGCGACCAUGCAUGGGAGUAAUAGUCCAAUAUUAUUCUAAACUGACCUAAAAAUAGCAUUCUGGGAGAUAUACUAUGUUAUAAACAGGGAUGAAGGUAAGCCUAAAAUAUGUAAAAUAACAAUUCAUUAACUGCUGCACCUGCAGCAACUACAUUGAAUAGAAGCACCAAAUCCACAUUACUUAUUGGAACCCGUUACAUUUUCUGAAGAAAGUGAAGCAAUAGCAACUCAAAAGUUCAUGAAUUUAGAUAGCUGAAUUUACUUUCAGUUUUUGGGCUUUUAUUUUUCUAUUUUUCACUGUUUUCAUAUAACUUUUUAGUUGUUGAGUCUCUAUUGUCAGUCAAAUUGGGGUCUGGUCAGCACAUAUAUUGUUAGGAAUUGGUCAGCCACUAUUAACCGCUUAUUUCUUAUUGAUUAAUAGGACAUCAGAAAGGUUUUGGGCUUUUGGCUGACUGAUUCAGUUUUAUUUCAUUCUCUUUCAAAGAGUCCUCCUAAGUUAAGGUAGGAUAUAAAGUUGUAUGAGAUUUAAUAUUCAUACAAAUAUGAAUGCCACAGGUCCGUGUUUCCUUUCUUCUUUAUCUUCUACUGUUCUCUUAUUUUGUCCUCUCUUCUCUCUUCCACUUUACCUUCUUUAUGUUCUGUGCUAAAGUACUGCUGCUAACAGAAAAUUUCUCACCGCGAAUCAGAUGAUUAAGAUCAGAGAUCAAAUCUGUUGUUAGAUAACUGGUUUAUUGCAAUAAAAAAAUAGUGAAUACUGAAUAGAUAUAGCUCAGGAUUCGUCAGAUCUGAACCUAACUAGCAGCAGAAUCCUGCCAUGUAGCUUGUAAAUCUUAAUGAGGCUACACUUAAGCAUGAUAACAUGCAAAAUAGUUGUUAACAAUACAAAGUUUUUGAAAAAAUAAUUGGUUUAGAAGAUAAUAUGCGUCUAUUUGUAUUAACCACGAUGAAAAUAUGUGCGUCUUUCAAUAAAGAUUUGCUUUUUGCAUAAGUACCUAUGGAAAGGCAGCGAGAACUUUUGGAACCUUAGUUUAAAUAGGACAUUUCUUCAUCAUUAUUGCUAUCACAAGUCAGAUUUAAAAUAACUUAUGCACUGGACUGGUUCAAAAUUUUCGUAUAUGUAUAUAAGAAUUCACAGAAAAAAGGGUCUCUUUUAAGUAUUUUAUUUUAUCACACUGUGAAUCAUAUCUCUAAAGGAAAAGUAUGGCUAUUCACAAUUCCAACUCAAUAAGCAAAGCAUCCCAAAGGAAACAUUAUGGAUUCCCACUUUCCACUUUCCAAAAAAAGUCCUGAUUGCAGGAGUAGCUUCCAACACAUGUUGACUCUAAUAAAUACAUCAUUAACUAUGAAUUCCAAUAUGAUAUGCGCUGCCAUUUUCAAUAAACAACACCUAAAAAAUGUUUUACACUAGAUUAACUCCAUUCAACAUAAUAAAAUCAAAGAAACAACUUCUACUAGAUACCAAAUCUUACAUUUUUUUCUUUUUUUCUGUUCAUAAGUAAUAUAUUGCAUUCAUAAUAUUGGGGCAUAUUGAUUAAUGAUCUCUUGAGGUAGAUGGUUCUACGUAGUGACUUUGUCAAAAUUAAAAUGCUUCCACUCAUGUAACAUGAUAGUUGGUGAUAAACUAACCAUACCUUUAUGGCCUCUCUGGCCGAUGGAAGACCUCGUACAUCCUGCUGGCAAGAGUUUCUGCUGUAAAGGGCUGAUGGAAGGGAGGAGUUAGAGAGAAUCAGGACACCAACCGCAUUCAAAAUCCGUAUUUUUUGGGAUAAGGUAAAAUCACCUUGCAGGUGGAAUCUGUAAUCUCUGAAGAAUCAAGAUGGAGGGAAAGAGCAAGCCAUCUUUACCUUUACAACUACUUUCUUUGGCCGCUCUGCACUGUAUUUCCUCCUCAUUGUUCCCUAGCAGAUAGAUUGUGGCUUCCAGCACCCAACCAAGGUCUUGAGGAACAUAAACAACAGAGUAUUAAUAAAGCUGUCAAAUUAAGAAUUAUUACAAUUAGAGUUGGUGCCAAAGUUGUAAUAAAGCUUAAGAGUUGAACAUCCAUAGAGUGAUAACAUCUUGGUUAUUGAAUGCCCACCAAAUAGAACAACAUAAUAAUAUGGCAAACAAAGUUAUUAAUAUAAGUACUUAUACUGGGUAUAGACUAAGCAAUUAAAUACUAAUACAAUGUCGAAAGAUGCAACAAGUGGACUAUACGAACUAAAAAACAAAAUCAUCGGUCUGGAGAAUUAAUGACUUGGUGGAGACUAAGUUGGAAAAAUAUUCACAAAUUUAAGGAUAGAAUAAAUGUUAGAAUUCAAGAUGAGGUUAUGUUGAAAUUGAUAUGCAACAUGAUGAUCAGCCAAGGCUCAAGGUACAAGAAACAAUGCUAAAGUAAGAAACGACAAUGUCAUGUCACUGGUGGUCUCAAUGCUUAUAUGUGCAGUUGAAUUCCAAUACUUCUUCGUUCAUGAUUAAAUUACUAACAAGAUAGCACCAGUGUCCCAUCAGGUUUAUAAGUUAUUUUUUGGAUAAUCAAAUCCUCUGACAACCAUUCUAACUCCGGGUCAUUCUGAUCACAGAUGAAACUUAUUAUGAUUUUUCUUUUGUCGCCCUCCCUGAAAGACCAUUCAGAAGGACCACUUGUGCUGAACUAGAUCUGUGAGAGCUCAGGUUAGGUUGGUUUGAUGAUGAUCGUGAUGCAAUGAACUAUAGAAACGGUUCAACCCAUUCAAGGAAAUGUGAAGUCGAGUUGAGGAUCCAUUCUUGUGACAACAUCUAGGUUAACUGUAUCAUCAUUAAGCAAAAUAACCUGUCUAUCUUUCAGAACCUAGAUAGCCCCUGGUUAAAAAUAUGAUCACAAUAUACCCAUCCUUUAAAUUCAUAAAGGUCAUUGUUCUUGCUCAGUUAAUUUUAAUCAUUCAGAAAAAUAAUAUCCUUUUCAGGUCCGACAAGUAGUGUAUUGUCCCAAAUUGAUCACCGGAAACUAUGCUAUAUAGUGUACAUACAUCAUGCAAUUACAGAGGGAGCAAAAGUUUCAUAAAUUUUUCAUGGUUCAGGCAUCAAAAGCUUACAUUAUGAAAACUGAUAAAAGAAAUCCUAAUUGCACUCAUGUGGCUCAAAAACUCAAGGAGCCAAUACUUCAAUAUCAUUUCUAUUAACCAAAGGAAAAUUGAUAGGCUAUAAAUCAGUUGCAGAUAAUCAAAAAAUCACUAUGAUAAUCUUUAUGCGAGGCAGUUCCAAAGUGUUAAAAUUAACUAAAUAAGUGAGGUAAGAAAUUUCCGUCCUUCCUAGUUGUGUUCACAACAUCAUUUUAUCGAAUAAGUGACAGAAGAAAUUUGGGCCAUUCUCGUGUUUUUAUCCACCUCCAUCAAGAUAUGCAUUAAAUUGCAACAUUGGUUAACCAAUGCCAUGACACUUAGGAUCAAGGUUUGACGAAUCAGGCCAAACCACCCGGUUCAGGUAGUACCGAGCCGACCUGGUGCGAAACUGGGUCGGUUUGCCAUUUCAAUUUGGUUCCGGCCCUUACGGUUUAGAACCACAAAGGGACCGGCCGGUACCGGUCCUUUUCGGAUGGUAAUAAUAAUGCCACAGUCCACAUGAUGUCUUCAAAAGGCACUGAAGGCAUUGGAAAGGCCCGAGAAGGCCUUCCCAACGGAAUUUGACACAUUCUUCGCCGCUUUUCCUUUCCAAAAAAUCCACAAACACCACCGAUUCAGGCUAUCAGAAGGAAGAGCCAAGGCUAAAUAAGGUAUGAUUCCUCUCCCCUAUCUCCUUCCUUAUUUUGGGGGGGAGACUUGAAAAUAUAGCUCAAAAAUUACAAAAUAAAAGAAGAAUCAGGAGAUCAUUCCAAAAUUUUUGAUUUGGCUUGAUUUUUUAUAUGUUGUAGAUCUAUGAAUGAUGUACACGUUAACAUAAAAAAUUUUAAUUUUUGGAUUAUAUAUAAUUUUUAAAAAUUAAAAAUAUAUUUUUGGAUUAAAAAAGUUAAAUUUUUUAAAAAUAAAUAAAAAAGUAUAAAAUCAGAAACGUAUUUAAGAAAAUGCAAGAUACUCUAUAUAAAAAUUUAGUGCCCAUUCAUUCAAAUUUUGAUGUGAUCAUGUGCACAGUAGCUUAGGCCUAACUUUGAAAAAGAUUGAGAAAUAAGUAGCCUUUUAUGCAUGCCCAAGGGUCUAAAAAGUAUAUAUAGCAUCCAUUGUUGGGUUCUACAUGGAUCUAAGCUGAAAUUAAUUUUUUAGAAUAUUAAUAAUUAAAAAUUAAUUUUAAAUACAAAAAAUAAUUUAAAAUAUACAAUUAUUACCAAAAAAUAUGAAAAAUUAGUACUAAGUAUUACAUAAUUCAGAAGUAAUUUUUGAGAUAGAAAUAUUUUUCUGAAUUUAUGAUAUAUAAAUAUUUUUAAAAAAUUAAAAAUUAUUAAAAAUAUAUAAAUAAAUUAAAAAUAUAAAAAAUUAAUGUUAUGUAUUAAAUAAAUCAGAUGUAUUUUCGAAAAUAGAAAAAAUUAUCAUCGUCAUAUUAAUAUUUUGUUAAUUUUAAAUAAUUGAUAAAUUGUCGUAUUUGAUAAAUCUGCAAGAAUGGGGCCAUCAAGGAAAAAGGACCUAGAGCGUGAUAGUGGCUGGGAGCAUGAGCAAAUGCUCUCGGAUCGGUACCAUUGGCAGUGCAACUAGUGCAACAUAGAGUUCAAAGGAGAAGGGGUAACCAAGUUGAAGCAAUACUUAACUAAUGUUUAUCCUGACGUAUCUAUGUACCGGAAAUGCCCAUAGGAGGUUCGACAGCUAAUGAAAAAGCACUUUGUUGAUUUCAUAGCAGCGAAAGAGAGGGUUGCAAAGAAGGAGGUGAACAGCCGAGCGGUAGAGGCACCUUCCUAUCGCUCUAGGGAGUCAGAGGAGGCGUCCGCUCAGAUAACGAAAAGGCACAGAUUCAGACUGCCAUGCAGGCGAGCCUGGAUGAUCAAUGGCAGUAGAAUGAGGUAGCGUGGCAUAGAGCUCGAUUUAGGCCCUUGUACUAUGAGUCGGGCUUCGAUUCUGCAAGCAGUAGGCAGAUCCAGAGUUCAGGAGGACCUCCUCAGUCAGAGAGGCCGUCAGCAGAGGCGGUGGCCGGAUUGCAGCUAUAUUGGGAGCUUUUGGUAGCAAAAAGAAGUCAUCGAGAGAGAUUCCACUAGGAGCAGCAAUCUAUGAUUAGAUCUACAUACCUUCUACAGCAGAAAUUUGAAACGGCAGAGGGUUGAUUCAAUACUGAAGAAGGAUAAGAAGAAAGAUAUAUGGCGAGCUAUUGAAUUCUGAUUCCACUUUAGCCAUAUCCCAGCAAAUAUAGCAGACAAUACAUACUACAAGUCUGCCAUUUCUGUCAUACAGGCUGCCGGUCCCAGUAUAGAUCCUCAAGGCCUGAAGGACGUCUACAGUGAGCUUCUUGACAGUAAUAAAAAGGAGCUAGAGAAAUGGAUUGCCUCCUACAAGAGUAAGUGGUUCAUAUAUGGACUGUGAUGUGUGAUCGAUCCAAUCAGACGGAGCAUCAACUUUCUGACAUACUAUAAUACAAAAAAAAAUUUUCACAAGUCGGUUGAUGCUUCUGAUCAGAUGCACAACACCGCAUACAUCCUCAAACUUAUGGAAGAGGUGAUUGAUCAGGUAGUUGAGGAGAAUGUCGUGCAGAUCAUCACUGAUAAUAGGCCACAAUAUAAGGCCGUCGUGGAGAUCUUGAUGGAGCGGCGACCACAUAUUUUCUGGACCCCACAUGCUGCACAUUGUAUAGACCUCAUAUUGAUGGACAUUGCAAAGAUUCGUAGGAUGCAGCAGACAGUGAAGACAGCCCAAACGAUCAUCGGGUAUAUUUAUAACCAUACUUAGGUCCUUUCACUGAUGAGGAGGUAUGCAGGAAGAGAGAUUUGAGAUCAGAAGUCACAUGAUUUGCUACCAACUAUGUUGCACUUGAUAGUUUUUUUGAGAAGAAAGCAACCCUACGUCAGAUGUUUGUUAGUUCCGAGUGGCAAGAAAGUAGAAAUGCCAGCACAACACUGAAGGGAGCAGUGUCGAAGACUUGGUGAUGAGGCAGAUAUUAUGGCAGCAGGCCACUGUGAUAGUGAAGGCUAUCAGACCAUUGUAUUAAGUACUUUGAGACAUAGAUAGCGAGAGGUACCUCCAGAUAAGUUUUCUGUAUCACAUGAUGGAGAGGGCAAAGGCUUAGAUCAUGGAGGUAGAUCCAACCUGUGCCUAGGAGUACAUCGGCAUCAUUGAGCGGCGUGGGACUACCAAAUGAGCAGGGACUUGCAUCUAGCAGGUGUCAAAACAAGGGUUUGCUGGAAAAGGAUGCCCUCUCCUUUGAGUCAUUUCUCAUUAUAUAGAAUAAAGAGAUUAAUUACAGCAAUUAAGACUCCUUAAUCUAAGCAUGUAAUAAAUAUAAUACAACCUAACUAUGGAAAGUACAUUUCAAAAUUAAAUCUCUAUUUACAGUAAUAUAUACUGGAGAUAGGCUGUCAUCGACAGCUGGCUUUGACAUUUCAAAAUCAAAUCUCUAUUUACAGCAAUAUAUACUGGAGAUAGGUUGUCAUCGACAACUGGCUUUGACACCUCCCUUCAAAUUGAUGCUGGUGUAGAAACUAGUAGCAAUUUGUUUACGAGAACAUCAUGUCGUUGCUUAUGCAAAGCCUUUGUAAAGACAUCUGCAAUUUGGAGAUUACUUGAGACAUGUGGCAGGAAAAUAACUUGUGCACCGAAAGCUUCACGAAUCGAGUGGUAAUCGACUUCGAUAUGUUUGGUAUGUUCAUGAUAAACUGGAUUUGCUGCAAUUUGAAUGGCACUCAUAUUGUCUGCAUGCAGAGAAUCAGAACAGAUUAAGGAAAUCUAAGUUCAGAAAGCAGUCCACGCAACCAAAUAAUUUUUGAACAAGCAGAGCACAUGGCACGAUAUACGGCUUCAGUAGAUGAUUUAGCGACCCGAUCUUGUUUCUUGCACUUCCAAGAAAUCAAAGCAUUGCCAAGGUACAUGCACCACCCUGUCAUAGAGCGACGUGCAUCAGGGCACCCAGCCCAAUCUGAUUCACUAUAGACAGCAAGUUGAAUAUUAGAUCUAGUAGAAAAAAAUAAGCCAAGUGUAGGAGAACCCAGAAGAUAUCUGAUUAUUCGACGGACAACAACCAUAUGAAGAUUUCGAGGAGAGAACAUGAACUGACUGACAUGAUUAACUGCAAAAGAAAUGUCUGGCCAAGUUACAGUUAAAUAGAUAAGGCUACCAACAAUUUUGCGAUACAGUGUGGGAUCAGGAAGAGGGUCGCCUUCAUCUUUUCGAUAUUUAGCAUUAACCUCCAAGGGUGUAUCAACCAAAGAAGAAUCUUCUAAUCCAACCAAAGCAAUGAGGUCUUUAGUGUACUUAUGUUGGUUUAUGAAAAGACCUUCAGGAGAAGUAUGCACCUCCAAGACCAAGAAAUAGGUGAGGAAACCAAGAUCCUUCAUAUGAAACCUAGCAUUAAGAGACUCUCGAAGCUGAUCAAUCAAAGAUGAAUCACUGCCAGUUAUAAUGAUAUCAUCAACAAAGACAAGAAGGACAACAAUACCCGUAGAAGUCUUGUGCAGAAACAUAGAUGAAUCAUAUUGGCUUUGCACAAAAAAAAGUGCCAAAAGAGUCUCUCGGAACUUUUCAAACCAAGCCCUUGGACUUCUUUUAAACCAUAAAGAGACCCUUUCAAGCGACACACAUCAGUAGGAGAAGUGCUCGUCAAACCAGGAGAAAGACGCAUAUAAAUUUCUUCCUUAAGGUCCCCAUGAAGAAAUGCAUUCUUUACAUCCAUUUGAUGAAGAUGCCAAGCUUGUGAUGCAGCUAUAGCAAGAACUGUACGAAUUGUAGUCAUUUUGGCCACUAGAGCAAACAUUUCUUCGUAGUUUAUACCAUAUCCUUGACGGUUGCCAAGGCCCACAAGUCUCGCCUUACGCCUGUCCAAGGAUCCAUCUGAUUGGAGUUUAAUUGAAUAAACCCACUGGCAGCCUAUGGGUGUUACAGAAGAUGGACAUAGAACUAUCUCCCAAGUAUCAUUCAGUUCUAGAGCAUCGAGUUCUUCUUGCAUUGCUUUCUGCCAACAAUCAUGUUUCAUAGCCUGGGUAUAACAAGAUGGGAUAGGAAUAGUAGACAAAGUAGCAACUAAAGAUGUACCUGGGUAUCCAUACCUAUUUGGAGGACGAGAUGCGCGGGUUGACUUGCGAAGAGGUUGAGGAAUAGGUGCAGAUUCAGGUGGUGGGGCAGGAUCUUGCUGUGGGCCAGCAUGACGAACACGCCUUUCAUACACAAAACCUGGUUUAAACCUUGCUGCAAAAGGAGAAACAAUUAAUGUAGAAUUGUCAACAGAAAAAUCAGGUAAGAAGGAUAUGGAAGGUAAGGAUGGAGACUCAAUGUGAGACGUAAAAAAAAUGUUGAUUCUCAAAAAAUAUAACAUUUCUUGAGACACGAAUCUUCUUAGCAGAAGGAUCAUAGCACAUGAAACCAUUUUGGUGAGGAGCAUAGCCAAGAAAAGCACAUCUAAUAGACUGGGUAGAAAGUUUAUUUCGUUCAUGAGGAGGUAGAUGGACAAAACAGACACAUCCAAAAGUAUGGAGAUCAGAGUACCUUGGAUGACAAUGGUAUAGUCGAAAAUAUGGAGAUUCAUACCUUAAUUUAGAAGCCGGAAGUCGAUUAAUUAAGUAAACUGCAGUACUAAAAGCCUCAACCCAAAAUCUAGAUGGAACAGAUGACUCAAGAAGCAAAGUUCGAACCACAUCAAGAAAAUGACGGUGCUUUCUUUUAACAACACCAUUCUGUUGUGGAGUGGAUGGGCAAGAUCGUUGAGAUACGAUUACCUUUUGUUGGAGAAAAUCCUGGAAUUCAUGAGACAUGUAUUCUCCACCAGAAUCUGAUCUUAAGGUCUUGAUGCAGGUGGAAAAUUGAUUUUCAAUGAAUGCUAAGAAAUUCUUAAACACUUCAAAGACUUCAGAUUUUGACCGAAGAAAGUUGAUCCAUGUGAAUCUACUGUGGUCAUCAAUGAAUGUCACAAAGUAUUUGUAUUGAGCAUGAGAAACAACAGGUGCAAUACCCCAGACAUCAAUAUGAAUCUGAUCAAAAUAGUUGGUGGAAAGAGUAUUAUGAGUUGGAAAAGGCAGAACUUUGCUUUUGCCCAAUUUAUAGCUAGAACAAUCAAACUCAACAUCUAUCGAAGAACAUUGAGUUUUAUUAGCAAGUAAACCAGAAUUCAAUACAUGAAGCAAAACUUUAGAGUUUGGAUGGCCUAGACGAUAUCUUACUCUUAUUUUUGACAGCAAUACAAGCAAAGGAAAACAACUUGAAAUCAUGAACAACAACUGGUAUAGGCAUGUGUAAAGGAAAGAGUCGUCCACAUUUAGGCCCCUAUGCAAUCAACUUUCCCGACACCUGAUCUUGCACAGUACAACCAGGUCGAGAAAAAAGAACUUCACAUUUAUUGUCAACCGAUUGUCCAAUGGAGAUAAGAUUACAAGAUAAGCCAGGAGAAAGAAAACAUCUUUCAAAGAGGAAGAGAUUUCACCAAUGGCUGUAAUGGGUAGCAAAUCCACAUUUGCAGUAUGAAUUUGCAUAUUCCCAUUAUAGUUUUUGACAUUAGAAAGAUUCUUGGAGAAAUAGGACAUAUGGUUCGAGGUUGUAGAAUCAAAGAGCAAAGGUUUGAAGGAGAUUUACCAUUACCAGUGAGUCCAAGUGCUGAAAAAGCAGACAAGAUCAUUUGUUGAACCAUUUCAGGUGUUAGAGAACCUGGGGUAGCAACUGUAGUUGAAGAAGUUUGUGAAGACAUCGUUGCUUUAGAGAGAAAAUCUAAGAAAUCAGAAGCUGGAGUACUAACAAUAGCUUGAAAUGCUCUUUGAUUGCGAUUUUAUGGUCGCGUCGGACAUGUUGUGAUGAUGUGCCCUUUCUCCUUGCAGUAAUUGCAAAAUUUCUUCUGACAGUGAGUUGCAAUGUGGCCAAAUUCCUUACAACCGUAGCAUUUAACAUUCCUCAUAUCUCGACCUUUUUGCUUCCCAUUUGCUGCAUAGGCAACAUUCAGAGAACCUGUGGAAGCCUUCUGUCCUUCACAAAAGAAAUUUGAGGACAUAACACAGGAACACUUCUGACACCAUCCCAAUACCCAGCAUAUGAGAUCCCAGGAAAUUGAAGAAAAUCCAAAUUUUCUGCUAAUAGGGAAUUGAUUUCAACUUUCUAGGGGAGAAAUCGAAUGAAAGCACAGUCUUGCAGUUAGGAUGACCAAAAACUGUCAUCAGAAUGUCUUCCUAUUCAGAUGAUGCUGGAAAAAAAAAUCAAAUAAAUCCCCAAAUCGGAACUUUUUUAUUCGGGGGAACUUGAAAAGACCAUCACAUGAUAAUCCAGCAAGAAUCAAAACAGUCAAAGAAAACAAAAAGCAAGAAGAAAGCUAAAAUUCUGAGGGGUUUGGACGAAGAAAACUUACAGGAGGAAAUUAGAGCAGCAAAAUUCUUCGAGAGAUCAAGGUUACACCUUGCGAAGAAUGAAAGGCAGCCAUUGGAGGCGAAAUGAAGGCCCGUGACCCUGAUUUCGCCCCGCCGAUCGCGCCAUCGUCGCCCUCUAUAUCUCUCUCGCUCGCUCGCUCGCAGUGAACAAGGAUGGGAGCUAGUUUACGAAAGCACUUAUGCGUACUAUUCACGUAAGAGGGGGGGUUAUAUAUGGAAAGGCUUAUCCGAAAUCCCACUAAAAGGUUUAUUUUCAUAUAUAUGCGUACUAUAUCUAUAUAUAUAGUUUCUAUAAAUAUAGAUAGGGUGCUAUAUAUAUCGUAUCCGAAACUAUAUAUACGAAGAAAAAAAAAAUCCGGCCUUAUCUAUUUCCGUAUCUGAUUUGGAUUCUAAUGCUAACUUCUUAUUCUUCUUUUUUUUGUCCACUCCGAUCUAUAUACAAAUCUGGAUAUUUAGCAUAUACAUAUAUCGGAUAUGUAUCCGACCAUAGCAAAACGUUGCAUCUGAUUUAUAUGGAUUAUUUUUUUAUUUAUUAAAAGUAUUAAGAUCAUUAAUAAAUUAUUUCAUAUAUAAUUAUUAUUUUCUAUGAAAAUAAGUAUUUUUUUAGUAAAAAUGAAAAUUUUAAUUUUAGAUAAUUUCAUAACUUUAUUGACUAAAAGUAUUUAUAAAUAUUAUAACUUCUAUGUAUUUAUAAACUUCACUCUCUAAAAAUAGAUAAUUUAUGAUCUUUUAUUUAAAAAGAAACGAUGAUAUUGGAUUAACAAACUAUUAAUAAUCUUUAUAUCAUAUAUAUACAGGAUUUUAAUUUUAAAUAUUUUAAUAUAGAUUAAGUUGAACUAGUAACUUAAACUCUUGACUUAGUCGAUUAAUAUGUAGAUUUAAUAACUAUAAUUUAAAUCUUUAAUUAUUUUGUAUUACAUGCAAUUUGUACAGUGACUUAUGUUACCAUCUUUAUGAUUAUAUGAUUAAUAUUAGUUUUUAUUAAAUUUUGCCGAUUGAUUUAUUUGAUAAAAUAAAUGUGGAUAUACGCAGCGCCCCCACGGGCUCCCCCGUGCCCCGCCGGCCUCCGCCGCCCCCCACCGGCCUCCGACGCCCCUCCGCGGCUGUCCGAUGGCGGCCGAAGGUGGGCUCCCUCCCUCUCUUCCCUGCGCUCCCUUUUUUUCUCCUCGUCUUCUUCGUCUCCGGCAAGAAACCGGCCUGUACCGGUUUCCACGGCUCCGCCGUACCGGUAGCUGGCCGGACCGGUUUGUACCGGCCCGUACCGGCCGGUUCGGCAUACGCUGGUCUUAAUGCUUGGGGUGUAGAUCAUAAUUUAAAUUUAGUAGAUACUCCUACUUGUACAUAAUCUUGAGCUAUGGUGGCCUAUCAAGCUUAAGGGCAAGCCUGAACCUGCCCAUUUAUGAUCAAAUUCAUCUCAGCUCAGAUAACACAGCUAAAUCCAGUUAUAAAAAGACAAAUUAUAUUCAUUUAUUUGGAUGUGUUAAAUAUAGAUAACAAUCAACAAGAUCCAAUCCAAAUCAACGACUUUGUUUUAUGAAAAUUGUUGAUAUUAUCAUCCAAUUAAAUUACUACAGUUUGUUAGUACUAAAUUUCUUUUAAGAAUCAAUAAAAUAAUAAAUUUUUUAAUUGUAUUAUAAUGUUCUUGAAAGUGUCAAAUGUUUUGAACAAAAUCCAACGUCCAUUCUCUAAAUCAAAAUUUAAAAACCUUACUUUGUAGAAUAGAAUAUUACAACUUGUGUAGACAAUUGCACUUCAAAGACGGAUUGGAUAGCCUCCUAUAUGGCUCAUCAUUCAGGCGACUUCAUCUGGGUGGAUCAGGCUUCUGUCCUGUCUGCCUUGCAGUCUAUUUUACUUUCUGACUUUUUGGGCAAUACUCACACCCGUUAUGUGCGAGUUGCCGAUAUAUCAAAAAAAAAGACCGAUUUCUAGAAAUAGACUUUUAUGUCCUUUUCUAAUGGCAUGCUUUCUCAAAUUGCUAUUUAAUUGAAUUUUUGUAUAAAAUAGAGGAAAUUAUGCACAAAUGACUUGACUGUUUUAUCAUACAACUUUUGAUCACAUUUAUUUAUUUAUUUUCAAAGAAUGAUUGAGUUUUGAAAUAUUUGGAAGCUUUGGCCCCUUAGCUCUAAUAGAUACGCUCAAAUAAUAUGUUUGAGUAAAUAAGGGCAAGUGAACACAUUUGGAUGGUGCAUGCAUUUACGUGGAUGCAUAUAUUUUUCAAAACGAGGUAUGUUUGAAGAUACUUUUUACAUGAAUGCUUAUAUUUUUUCACAAUGAGGUAAGUUUAUACUUUUGUGGAUAUAUAAUACUUGUAAGGAAGGAGGCUGGGGGUAUCUACCUACCAGGGGAGUCCUAGCCCGACGAGGAAUGCACAUCACCCCGAGAUGCUGGCCUGUCAGGAGAUAGAGGAGACUAUUUUCCAUGCCCUUUUUGGUUGUCAGAGGGUGGCUUCGUUAUGGGAGUGUGCCUCGGCCUGCUUUCGUCUGCACUAGAGGUAAUCGUCGAUAGAGGAGUUUCUGACACUUCUGGCUAAGUCUUCUUGAAGAACGGGCCUCCUGUCAUUGAAGAUUAAGACAACUUAUCUGGCUUAUCACUGCUGGCUAGAUAAGAAUCAAAAAAAUAGUAGAAUCAACCCAUUCCAUAUUCCACAAACGGCUCAUCAUAAUCAACAUCAGUAUAGCCAAAUGGCCUUAGUGCCAAUUUUUCUCCAUUGUUUCUUGCCAUGCAUGCAGUGAUUCAAAGACAUCAUAGCCUUUGAGAAAUGAGCAGAUACAUGCUUCUCCACUUGCCUGCCAAUAUGUUCACUCCGCAACAUAUAUUAGUUGACCAUCCUAACAAGAGGAAACAAUAGGUCUCUUCAACAGAGAAUCUUUUCAAGCUAGAUUAUGGGCUCACAAGCAAUGCGGCCUAUUUGUAUGGGUUCACUCUAUCUAAUUUUGAUCCCUAGAUGAUUCACUAGUAAGACGUNNNNNNNNNNNNNNNNNNNNNNNNNNNNNNNNNNNNNNNNNNNNNNNNNNNNNNNNNNNNNNNNCGAUUAUUACAACUUUUUUGAGAACUAGGACGGAUGGAAACCAAGCUGAAUAUCAAAAUGAGGGCAGGAACAAACUCAGGUCUGCUGUACCAAAACAAGAGAUUUUUACUGACUUGGACAGUUGGUACCCUUAUUGUCAGAAUUAUUAUUGCCAUAGUUCUAGUAGUUGUUAAUAUUGCUUCUUCUUGUUCUUUUUAUUUAUUUUUACAUACAUGUUUUUCAGUUGUGUGGCAGUCAAUCUCCCCAGUUUCGAACACAACAUGGUAGAAAGUGGAUUGUGGUUUUUGAGGAGUAAAAUAAUCUUUUAGAAUGGCCAACAACUGCACCUUAAGAAGCAAGCAUACCAUGAGAUAGAAGGGAAGAAGCGUGUACUUGCUCAUGCCUUGGAUGAUAUUGAUGUCUUUGGUAUACUCUACAAAUAUCUUGAACUCACAUAUCUGCAGGACACAUAUCUAUGUGUAUUGGCACUUAAACCAUGCUAUAGUUGAUUUUGAUUGGGGAAUUGCAAAAGCAUGGAGAAGGUUCCAUUGUACCUUAUUAUAAUUAUUUUAUACCUUUAUUAUUGUAUUAUACUAUAAAUAUAAUAUUAUAUUACAUUAUUUAUAAUACAUUAAUAUGUUAUGUUAAAUAAUUUAAUAUUAUGUUAUAUUAUACAAAUUAAUUUACGCUAAUAAUUAUAAUAUUUUAUACCUUUAUUAUUGUGUUAUACCAUAAAUACAAUAUUAUAUUACAUUAUAUCAUAAUACAUUAAUAUGUUAUGUUAAAUAAUUUAAUAGAAAAAUUAAUGUACGCUAAUUAUUAUAAUAUUUUGUAUCUUUAUUAUUAUAUUAUACUAUAAAUAUAAUAUUAUAUUGCAUUAUAUCAUAAUAUAUUGAUAUGUUAUGUUAAAUAAUUUAAUAUUAUAUUAAAUUAUUAUGCUAUAGCAUACAAUGUUAUAUUACUAUAUUAUAAUAAUAUUAUAUAUAUUAUAGUAAUAUUAUACUAUAUUGUAUAUUUAUAUAUUAAUAUAUGUUAUAUUUUAUUAUGCUUUGUUGUAUAAUACUAUACAAUGUCUUUUAUGGUAAUUUUGUCAUAUAAAAGUACUUUCUCAGUUUGUUUACCAAACACAUGUUCAAGUGCCACAGCACUUUAGAAAUAUAGUUACCAAACAGCAAAUAAUUUUUUAUAAAAUCUCUACUUUUAACAGCUCUACUGCCAACAGCUUUUCCAAAUAGGGCCUAAAAGGUGAAUACCAAAGGUAAGGAGAGACAGCCCUUCUAGACCAAAUGCAUCAUCGGCUUAGUGGGAAAUUUUAGUUCCCUAAACCAAGGAACACCUCUGUCACGAUCUUUACCAUCACCAUAAAGCUAAAGGAACUAUUAUCCAUCAUCACUAACAUCAUGAAAAUCCCUUACCCAAAUGUAGGAUGUAAAAGUAGCUUAUCUUACCUCAUUCUACUUCCUAUAUCUAGCAGUAAGCACAUAUUACAUCAAGGUUCGCAUCUUGAAAGAUAGCUCUGGGCUGCUGCACAUUUGAUAAGAAUUUCUUAACUCCCUCUUAUCUUUUUCUUUCAUACUUCUCUCAAAUCUUCUUGUCUUAGCAUCCUUUCUCAUUAAUAAUUCUAACGCUAGGUAGAUGCUGAAGUCAUCGAGUGAGAACAGGUGCCAAACAUCUUCCACCUGCAAAACCAAGGCCCAAAGCUUGAAUCUUGGUCAGACCAAGUGUCCAGAGUCUUUAACCAUACACUCUUAAUUGUUAUUUUCCUAGGCCCUUUGUAUCUACUAGAAAAUGAAAGAGAAAUAAAACUUUCAUCCGAUGGAAAAAGGAAAAAAUGGGGAUUUUCCAUCGUUUGAUUGCACAAAGGCUCUGCUUGACUGUCAUUUUAAAAAUAAGAAAGAAAAGAAAAAUAGCAGCAGAAAAAAGAAAAGAAAUAAAUUGGGAAAUUUCUCAUGUUUGAACUGAGAAAAUUGCAGAGAAAAUAGUUAAAAAUUUGUUAAGUUAUUUGUUAAUUUUUUCCCAAAACCGCUAACUUUUGGAGAAGAAGAAACUUUACAGUUGUAGGAGAAACUCUUGACCAUUAUUUCUCCUUUUAUUCUCUUCCUGACUUUCUUUUCAGUACCAAGCAAUGGAAGUUUUCUUCACUUUUUUGGCAACCGACAAGUAUUUAAAAAAAAGAAGAAAAAGGUUUUGGAAAAUUAUUAUUUGGUUGUGUUAGAGGUGGUUUUGCAUGGGUUAGUUUGUUGUUAUCUUAUAUAAAAUUCCAGAAGAGGAAUGAGAUUUGGUUUCUUUUCCAAAAAAUAGUACCUUGGCCAGCAAAUUUAUGCACUAUGUCAUCUCAUGAAAAAUUUCCUUUUGGAUUUCCUCUCGCUAACAUACAUUGGAGGAAAAGGCUCCCCUAACAAAUUUUUCUCACUUUAUCAGCACUGAGCAAGGCCUUAGUGUCCCAAGUACUAAAACUUGCAUAAAGGCUCCUCAAAAUCAUAUCAAACCAAUGAUGUCCUAUGUGGAUCACUAAAUGCAGUAAAAUUAGGGCUUUUCAUAAAGACAAACAAAAAAGAGCUAUAUAAAUCAGAAUGUUAGCUAACACUCAUUGAAAACAUAUAUACUUGCACUUAUAGAUGGCUCCAUGCAGAAGUACAUAAAAAGAAUCUGGUAAACCUACCUUUUAUGGUUUUCCCAUGUACCCGUUUAUGAUUAAAAUACCAUCCUCGCAUAACCUCCAGGCAUAUUCUCGAUAUGAUCCUGCAAGAUCUUUAAUGUUACAUGCUUCGAGGUCUCAUGCAGAUUUUUAACUGCGUAACAAAUGAAAUCUAAAGCUUAUCAUUCUGCAUAUCUCAUCCCUUCAUUCGCACAAUAAAAAUAGUAUCCUGCAAUAUGUAUUAUUUAAAUAGAAAAAGUAAAUAUUGCAAUGUUUUGAUUUCAUAAAACCUAUUAGAAGAACGUUAACUCGUGUAAUCGCGAGACUUGGACAGGAUAAUCACGAAUAUGUAAAUCAUUCACAAAGGAAUGUAUAAGAACCAAUAAUUCGAUGUUAGCAGACAUUUAUUCGAGAACCUUCCAAAAUAUUUGAACCCAUACUACAACACUAUUUCUGCUACAAUGAAAUCAACAGACUGAUUAAGGUUCAAAAAUGCUUCUGAUCUAGGUAAAAUAUUUCAGAUAGCUUCGAUAUAAAAAAAUUGAUGCAGAAGAGGAAUUGAUUUGCUAGUUUUUUGGAGUACUAACUUGGGGACCAAAUUUUGAAGGAUUAUCAAAAGUUUGUACGUGGUAUCUGAGCCACAAAAUAAGCUAAAAGUUGCUGGAAGUUUUGGCAAAUUGCAACACGUACCUAUUUGAACUAUUUAUAAAUGAAUUUCCUUUGAACUUCAAAGCCAAAAAGAAGUGGAUAAAUUGGUACUACAUGAUGAGAAGACAGCAAUGAGUGAUGGAGCAGAUCAAGAACCUUAAUGAAUAUAAACAAUUAAAAGGACAACCUACAAGGAUAAAUAACAACAGUGGCCUCACCACUAUCAAGUUUGUAAAGAGCCAUUGCCCAAUUGUUUACCAUGGAUUUAUCACCUAGGGAAGAAGAAAAUGGCAUCACCCUGAAAGACGAGAAAACCUCGAUUUUUUUCCAGAUCCAAAUUGUGUAAGCUACAUAAAUUUGGUUGUCCUUUCCUAGUCCGACACAUAAAUGAAGUCAUAAUAUCACAUCUGGGUUCCUCUAUAUAUAAGGACAGCUAAACUAUUUUGAAGCUCAAACCAAAUGAUUUUUGAAAUUCAACAAAACCACAGCUGGAAGUAGAACAUUAAAACAUU